GGGUAUCAUAAAUAAAGUAAUGUAAUUUGAGGCUGCGGUUUGUGGGCUAAUGAUUUAAGGCUGCAGUACCGCGCCUGUGCUGCAGGUGUCAGUGCAGGCAGCUAGAUGUAAACACCGAGCAGCGGCUAAAUGACGGCAGCUAACGUUAGACCUUAAAACUGGAUGGUUAUUUAAAAGAGGAAACAGGAAAGAUUAACUAUUUCCUCGCUGUAUUAUUUGUAAUUAAUUCAACAGUUUUCUGUAAUCUAGAUAUCCAGGAAAAGAUUAGUGUGCUUCAAUUUUGAGACCAAGCUAACCAGCUAGCUAGCUUAGCUUCGGUUGAUUUCUAAAUCAUGAACUCUCUGGUUGGCUACGGUGUGUCCUCUGAGUCUGACAGCGAGGGGUAUGAGGACGUAAACAACGGUGCAGUUGGGUCUGUAAAGGCGAUGGGUGGUGAAGCAUCAGCUGCCAAAAAGAGCCGCAACUUCUUGCUCGAGUCUGGUUCAGCUUCCAGUGAAUCAGAACCCGAGGAAGAGGACCCAGAGCCUUCUUUAUCACCACAUCCCCAAAAACCUGCAUCUUCUGCAGCCUGCUAUCCCACCUUACCUGUUCCUUCUCUGGGCUCCCUCACCUCCAAUAAACUCCCUCCUCCUUCUCUACAUACCUGCUCUGACAGCAGUGUGUUUACCAACCCUUUCAAGGCUCAGGCAGACCAGAAGCUCAGCGCCCUGCAGAAACACGUCCCCCUCACAAUGCAGGCCAAACCCUCCCAGAUAGGCGGCAAAAGGAUGUGUGUGUCAUACAGGAAAGAUGGAAGGUGCCGGUUUGGGAUCAAAUGCAAGUUUGCUCAUGACAGUGACCUUCAGAGUCUCACUGACUGUCAUCCACCUGUGAGUGAAGAAACACCAGAUCAAGCAGAGUCUCAUGCAGGUGGCUCAGGUGGUGGAGGAUCCCAGAACCUCCAGAAGGUGACAAAAGAGGAAGAAUCAGGAGGGCAGCAAGGGAAGAAGAGGAGGGUUGGACUGAGCAACACCUUGAUUCCUCCGAAGCGAGCUAUGAAGCAGUAUGCCAUGCAGAGGAACAGAGAGCAGAUCAAUAUGUCCUGA
rnacentral:lncRNA from 1 species